CCUACGGGGGGCAGCAGUGAGGAAUAUUGGGUAAUGGACGAGAGUCCGAACCAGCCAAGUAGCGUGAAGGAUGACUGCCCUAUGGGGUGUAAACUUCUUUUAUAUGGGAAUAAAACGUUCCACGUGUGGGAUUUUGUAUGUACCAUAGGAAUAAGGAUCGGCUAACUCCGUGCCAGCAGCCGGGGUAAUACGGAGGAUCCGAGCGUUAUCCGGAUUUAUUGGGUUUAAAGGGAGCGUAGGUGGAGUGUUAAGUCAGUUGUGAAAGUUUGCGGCUCAACCGUAAAAUUGCAGUUGAAACUGGCAGUCUUGAGUACAGUAGAGGUGGGCGGAAUGCGUGGUGUAGCGGUGAAAUGCUUAGAUAUCACGAAGAACUCCGAUUGCGAAGGCAGUUCACUGGACUGCAACUGACACUGAGGCUCGAAAGUGUGGGUAUCAAACAGGAUUAGAUACCCGAGUAGUC
rnacentral:rRNA from 1 species